rnacentral:rRNA from 1 species
UACGUAGGGUGCAAGCGUUGCCCGGAUUUAUUGGGCGUAAAGGGCGCGUAGGCGGCUCUGCACGUUCGUUGUGAAAUCGCCCGGCUCAACUGGGCGGGGUCAGCGGAUACGGCAGAGCUUGAGCAAGCUAGGGGGCAAUGGAAUUCCCGGUGUAGUGGUGGAAUGCGUAGAGAUCGGCAGGAACACCCAGGGGGAAACCAGCCGACUGGGGAUGUGCGUGACGCUGAGGUGCGAGAGCGUGGGGAGCGAACCGG